AGGGAUAUGACCUGAGAUUAUUCCAGUCAGUAGUUCCAUCCCGAUCCCGCACUGUUAGGUAAAGGAUUCACUGUAAGAGCAGCAUUCACUUCCUCCUUCGGUCACCUUCAACGUCUGCUACUCAAUUCCUACAAGCCUUGCGGUACUCCGAGGGUGGAAAAAGCUCAGUGAAGUCCACCUGGCCGUGCUGCUGCUCCAGUUUCAACUGAACCGCGGCCCUAGGACCAUGC